GACGAACGCUGGCGGCGUGCUUAACACAUGCAAGUCGAACGGAAAGGCCCUGCUUUUGUGGGGUGCUCGAGUGGCGAACGGGUGAGUAACACGUGAGUAACCUGCCCUUGACUUUGGGAUAACUUCAGGAAACUGGGGCUAAUACCGGAUAGGAGCUCCUGCUGCAUGGUGGGGGUUGGAAAGUUUCGGCGGUUGGGGUUGGACUCGCGGCUUAUCAGCUUGUUGGUGGGGUAGUGGCUUACCAAGGCUUUGACGGGUAGCGGGCCGGAGAGGGUGACCGGGAACGGGGGGAGCGAGUGUCAGCCACGACUGAUGCGGGGGGCAGGAUGGGGGAAUAUUGCACAACGGGCGGGCGCCUGAUGCAGCGCGCGGGGGUGAGGAAUGACGGCGUUGGGUUUGUAAUCAGCUUGCGCGUGGGAAGAAGGGGGGGGGGAAGAAAUGAGCAAAGAACCCCCGGCUACCUACGGGCCAGCGGCAGGGGUAAUAAGGGGACGGGCACCUGUCCAAAC
rnacentral:rRNA from 1 species